AUGAAGCACUCCAUGGACACUAGCGGGUUCUCCAGCGACUCCUUUCCCUCGCCGUCGCCGUCGCCUUGGCCGUCGGCACCGGCAUUGGGUUCCGCGACGCUUUCCUCGCCUGCCGUGGUGACGGCGUCGUCUUCCGGCUGCGGCGGCGGAGACAGCGGUGGAGGGGCCUCCCGCGCCCGCCGCGGCGAGGCGCGGCUGCUCGGGACGGGCGGCUUCCGCUGCAGGGACGCGACCGGGCUCGCGGCCCGAUGCUGCUCCGGCGACGCCCGCUUCGCCGCGGGCGACGGCGACCUCCGCACGGAGCGAUCCCGUGGGUCCCGCCGCGGAGGAGGGGACGGCGAACCCCGGCAGCUACGGGACCGGACGCCAUAG
rnacentral:rRNA from 1 species